GACAUGUGAUCCAGCUCUCUCGCUCUCUCUCCCGCUCUUCCUCUCUCCCUCUCUUUCUCACCCUCUCUCUCUUGCUCUCUCUCUCUCUAUGGACAUUCCCUCUCUCUCCCUUUCGCUCUCUGGCUGGGCUGUAUUGUAAUACACAUAUAGACACUACUUAGUGCUUUGGAAAGAGGGUUGAGCCUCACACACACAACCAGAGCAGCUUCUCAAUGGGGGGACGGAGCCAAGAGGAGACAGGACUAUCGUUCCGCUGGAGCCAAUCUCCAUCCGUGUCUGAGAAGUGAGGAGGCAAAUUAACUCCCUGUCGUCACGAGGGGGCUUUCAUCCUCACAGGAGUAAGAAGAGAGAGAAAAGGGAGAGGGAGAAAGAAGGAGAGAAAGGAGCUGCUGUCUGCGCUGAUAUAAAGGUGACCUGAGCAGCUUUCCAUCCUGUAAACCCUGGCUAGUUUGUGACAGAGUGUCGUGGCUGUGAGCUGAGGAGGUUUCUGGUGACUGCACUCUCAGGAUUUCAGACGGACAGUGAGAGGAGGGAGCCGAAACAACAGAGCUCCUCAACCUCUUAUCCUGCAGCGCUGUGCUCAUUUACACCUGGAUCUUUGUUGGGAAUCUCUGGCCUCAGACUAUGGAUGGAUUUAAGACAGUGUUUUGAGUCUGUUGGACAGACGGUGAUACUGACAGCAGGGCUCCUUUUCUUCUGACCAGACAGACAACUCAGCUGCUCUGCCAUGUCCUGGUUCCUGGGCCUGUGGAUUAGCCUAGGCUUCCUGCUGCUGUGCCAGGCCACACUGUACGAGACUAUCCAGCAGCACCACGUUCCACGGCCCGGACGCAAUGCCAUACAGAUCCUGGGCUUGAUGUUUGCGGGAGCCUCUGAACGACUGAACCCAAUCUGAAGGGAGUGACUGCCGAUACCGUGCAUGGUGACUUACUGGAAUACCGGAAUACAGAAGCAGUGUGGGGAGAUUGGAGGGGAGGCGAUGGUGGCGGAGAUAGCAGGAUUACAUAGCUGUUUAAGAUGUGGCCUUGAUAAGUAAGUUUGAUGACUUUGCUCUCAGCAGUGUUGCUGCCAGGCUCCUCAUCUCUCCUCUCCACAGGAGUGAGCGAGGAUGAGGUGAUAUCAGAUGUACCAUGGAACAGUGUGCUCCGACAGGGUUUUAUAUAAUACUAGCUGACUGUAUGUACCACCCAGACAUCGUUUCAUUCAUGCUAACUGAAGAAAUGAACUAUUCCCAAUUCAUUUCAUGAGCAGACAUUUAAAAAUGGGUUUCUUAAAAUUUGCAGGGAGACAAUCAGAGUCCCUGACCUUGUCUGAGAAGUCAAAAGGACAUUUUCCACCCUGACUAGAAUCAACUAUCCUUUAUUAUUCCUUUACAUGUGAAUUCACUUGCCCACCUCUUGGAAAAUACAACCAUUAACUACAUUUUCUGACUCACCUGACAUGGUUACCAUACAGCACACUGGAUGAGCACCAGAGCAAUAUAUCAAUAUUAUAUGAGAUAGAUGGGCUGAGGAACAUUAGCUAGUAUGAAAGGCGUACAGUAUUAGAUAUAACCUAAUACGGCAUAUCUAUGCAGAUAUUACCAAUAAGCGAUGCAACACAUUAGCAGCAUAUUCUUUACCUCUUUCCGAUGCCACACACAGCAUUUAACGCAUGUGUAUAUGGAUGUCCACCUUAAGUAGUAUCCCUGUGGGGCAUUGCUUAACCCAGGAUGUCUGCGUAAAUAGCUGUCUUUGUCUCUGAGAUGUAAGGUCAUCAGCUGCC
rnacentral:lncRNA from 8 species